ensembl:misc_RNA Y_RNA Y RNA
GGCUGGUCAGAGCAGCAGGGCAAGUUACAACUAAUUGAUUACAGUCAGUUACAGAUUACUUUGCUCAUUCUCCACUUCCACUGCUUCACUUGACUAGUCUAUU